rnacentral:rRNA from 1 species
ACUCAAAUGAAUUGACGGGGACCCGCACAAGUGGUGGAGCGUGUGGUUUAAUUCGAUACUAAGCGAAGAACCUUACCCAGGCUUGACAUCCCGAGAAAGCUCCUGAAAGGGAGCCGUGCCGCAAGGAAUUCGGUGACAGGUGUUGCAUGGCUGUCGUCAGCUCGUGCUGUGAAGUGUCCCGUUCAGUCGGUCAACGAGCGCAACCCGCAUCUUGUGUUGUAUUUUUCACAAGAAACUGCCUCAGUUAAUGGGGAGGAAGGUGCGGAUGACGUCAAGUCAGCAUGGCCCUUACGCCUGGGGCUACACACGCGCUACAAUGGGGAGUAACAAUGGGUUGCCAAGCCGCGAGGCGGAGCUAAUCCCAUCAAACCUCCCCCCAGUUCGGAUUGGAGGCUGCAAUUCGCCUCCAUGAAGUCGGAAUCACUAGUAAUGGCCGGUCAGCCACACGGCCGUGAAUACGUUCUCGGGUCUUGUACACACCGCCCGU